rnacentral:rRNA from 1 species
UUUAUUGGUUUUGCUGACGNAGAUAAUGGUUACCAGAGACAAACCNGGGNCCCCUCGUAUUGUACGUGAGAGUGAAAUUCUGGACNCGUAGCAAGACGGACUACAAGCGAAAGCCUUUGGCAAGAAUGUCUUCAUUAAUCAAGAACGAAAGUCAGAGGUUCGAAGGCGAUCAGAUACCGCCCUAGUUCUGACCGUAAACGAUGCCAACUAGCGAUCCGCCGGCGGAUUUAUUCGCCCUGGUGGGGAGCUUCCCGGAAACGAAAGUCUUCCGGUUCCGGGGGAAGUAUGGUUGCAAAGCUGAAACUUAAAGGAAUUGAAGGAAGGGCACCACCAGGAGUGGAGCCUGCGGCUUAAUUUGACUCAACACGGGGAAACUCACCCGGCCCGGACACCGUAAGGAUUGACAGAUUGAUAGCUUUUUCAUGAUUCGGUGGAUGGUGGUGCAUGGCCGUUCUUAGUUCGUGGAGCGAUUUGUCUGGUUUAUUCCGAUAACGAGCGAGACUCUAGCCUACUAAAUAGUUGGCUCAUUGCUUCUGUGGGCACAACUUCUUAGAGGGAUUUUCGGUGUUCAGCCGCACGAAAUUGAGCAAUAACAGGUCUGUGAUGCCCCUUAGAUGUCCGGGGCUGCACGCGCGCUACACUGGCAAAAUCAGCGUGCUUGUCCUUCCCCGAAAGGGGUUGGUAAACCGGUGAAAAUUUGCCGUGAUUGGGAUCGGACAUUGCAAUUAUUGUCCGUGAACGAGGAAUUCCUUGUAGGGGCGAGUCAUCAACUCGCUCUGAAUACGUCCCUGCCCUUUGUACACACCGCCCGUCGCUGCCCGGGACUGAGCCAUUUCGAGAAAUUCGGGGACGGUUAGUGUUCCGGCUUCGGUCGGUAUGCAGACUGGAACCGAUUUAAUCGCAGUGGCUUGAACCGGGCAAAAGUCGUAACAAGGUAGCUGUAGGUGAACCUGCUGCUG